rnacentral:rRNA from 1 species
CAUGUCCUUUUGAAUAUGAUUUAAGGUCUAACCUGCCCAGUGAAUAUAUUAAAUGGCCGCGGUAUUUUGACCGUGCGAAGGUAGCAUAAUAAUUAGCUUUUUGAUUGAAGGCUGGAAUGAAUGGUUGAACGAAAAAAUUUCUGUCUCUUUUCUGAUAAAAAUAGAAUUUAAUUUUUAAGUAAGAAAGCUUAAAUGUUUUUUAAAGACGAGAAGACCCUAUAGAGUUUAAUAUUAAUAUUUUAUUUUAACUUUAGAAUUUAUUUUAAAAUGAAAUUUUAAAUAUUUAGUUGGGGUGACAAAAAGAUUUAAAAAACUCUUUUUAAAUUUAAACAUUUAUAAUUGAAUAUUUGAUCCGUUAUUAACGAUUAAAAGAAUAAAUUACCUUAGGGAUAACAGCGUUAUUUUUUUAGAGAGUUCUAAUCGAUAAAAGAAAUUGCGACCUCGAUGUUGGAUUAAAGUUAAUUUUGGGAGCAAAAGCUUGAAAAUUAGGUCUGUUCGACCUUUAAAACUUUACAUGAUCUGAGU